rnacentral:rRNA from 1 species
AUUGAACGCUGGCGGCAUGCCUUACACAUGCAAGUCGAACGGCAGCACGGGUGCUUGCACCUGGUGGCGAGUGGCGAACGGGUGAGUAAUACAUCGGAACAUGUCCUGUAGUGGGGGAUAGCCCGGCGAAAGCCGGAUUAAUACCGCAUACGAUCUACGGAUGAAAGCGGGGGACCUUCGGGCCUCGCGCUAUAGGGUUGGCCGAUGGCUGAUUAGCUAGUUGGUGGGGUAAAGGCCUACCAAGGCGACGAUCAGUAGCUGGUCUGAGAGGACGACCAGCCACACUGGGACUGAGACACGGCCCAGACUCCUACGGGAGGCAGCAGUGGGGAAUUUUGGACAAUGGGCGAAAGCCUGAUCCAGCAAUGCCGCGUGUGUGAAGAAGGCCUUCGGGUUGUAAAGCACUUUUCUCCGGAAAGAAAUCCUUGGCCCUAAUACGGUCGGGGGAUGACGGUACCGGAAGAAUAAGCACCGGCUAACUACGUG